rnacentral:rRNA from 1 species
UACGUAGGGUGCGAGCGUUGUCCGGAAUUAUUGGGCGUAAAGAGCUUGUAGGCGGUCUGUCGCGUCUGCUGUGAAAAUCCGGGGCUCAACCCCGGACUUGCAGUGGGUACGGGCAGACUAGAGUGUGGUAGGGGAGACUGGAAUUCCUGGUGUAGCGGUGAAAUGCGCAGAUAUCAGGAAGAACACCUAUGGCGAAGGCAGCUCUCUGGGACGGUACUGACGCUGAGACGCGAAAGCGUGGGGAGCGAACAGG